rnacentral:lncRNA from 1 species
UUAUCAAUUCAAAUAUAAUGAUUAUAGAGUGGGGCGCUCAUAUUCGCCGUGGACACAAUUUCGCCGUUUUAUGAUUUUGAGGUGUAAAAACUUCAAAGGACGGUUGAAAUUGAAGAUAUAUGCCGGUAAAUUAUAUUUUUAUAACAAAUAUGAUAAUUUUUGAAAAUGAGACCAAAUUUCAGCACUUACCGCAAAGGACCGAAAAACGGACAACGAUUUUCAGCCAAUUUCCUGAAUGAAAAAACCAUUUCAAAGAAGUAUUUCUUUAGUAAUUCUUUGACUGAUUGCCCUAAAUUUCAGUGUUUUUUACACCUUUCAAAUGUCUGCUAUUCAUCUAAAAUGAAAUAUAUUUGAUACAUAUUGUUUAAAGCUACAGUUAUUUGGUUUUAAAUAGAUGUGUAACAACGGCGAAUAUGUGUCCCCCGUUGACAAAACAUCAGGAAAUUUCAAACACCCUUUAAUCCAACAUUUUAAAUGAUUUUUCUCAAAACAAACACAUUUUAAAGCUAAGAAUAUUUUGCAUUUGAAGUUAUCUCUAUAUAGAAAUAUCAGUAUACUUCAAAAACAUAAGGACUUGAACAUAAACUAAAGAUAACAUGGAAAGAUAUGGCGAAAAUGAGCACCC